AGGAGGAGAAGGGGACGACAGAGGAUGAGAUGGUGGAUGGCAUCACUGACUCGAUGGAUAGGGAGGAAACCGAGUCCGCAGACGCCCGGCGCAGCCCCAGGUGCCCGCAGAGCUGCCCUGCGCGGCUCAGCCCCCGACCCUCUCGUCCCCCAUGCUGCUCUGCUGGGAUCGGGUCAGCACCGCCCUGCACCCCCUCUGAGCACGGCGACCUCCUUCCCAACUCCACCCUUGCGUCCAGGAGCCUUCAGAGACACAAGGGGGCCCGAGAGCUCCCACUCGCCCAGCAGUGAGCGCGGGCCAGAUGGGGCGACACGCUGUGUUCUGCCUCCUGCUGUGGCCUCAUUUCACAUGUGGGGAGACUGAGGCAGGAAACGGGGGGUCACUGCCUCAAACCCGGGACCCCAGGAUCCAGAGUUGGCCCCCCCCGGCGGCUCCCCCCUCCACGUGGGGCCACACUCAGCCCCGCGUCCACGUCUGUAGAGACACACUCAGACACACUCUCAAAUCUGCAGCUCCACCUGAUUGUCUGGCUCCCCUGGGUGCAAUUCGAGAACAAAGAUGGCAAAGGAAGCAAACACGCCAGCGAAGCUCGUAGUUUAGAGAAAAGGCAAAAUGAAAUAAGGCACAUCCGCUUCCGUGGGCUCCCGUUAGCGUUUUGUCAGCAACGACAAGCAAACGAGACAGUCUGAAAGUCAGUCCCCGACCUGCCGUUCAGGGAAGAUCUCCCCAAGGGAACCUCUGGGCCAUGGCCAUGCGUGGAGACCAAGCGGGUAACUAACUGCUUGACCUCUGGGACCGCUCCCAAAAGCCUUUGUUUCUCGUAAGAAAGCAGGGCUGCCAGAAGCCCUGGUGGGAACUGAGACACAACCGCGGUGCUUUCGGGGCUUGCGAGGUGCUGGCCCCAGCGAAGGGCCCAUCAGGGGCUUCCAGGGGCCGUCUGUCUCCUGAGUGACAGAUCCACGGCACCAGCAUCACCUUUCCUCUUGGGGCUUGCCCGGAGGGCACGGGCUUGGAGGCGUGGGGGACGGGCCGCAGACCCUGAGCCCCAGGGUGAGGGCCGCUGGUCCGUGCUCCUGUGCGGAUAGCGCAAGCGACUAUCCCACCCCCAAGGAGAGACUGGACGCUUCCUUUCAGGUCUGCACGCGCUGACUUCUGUUUCCAUCUGCAAUGACUAGACCCUCAGGAAGUGGUGCAGAGGGGCCGUGAGAGCAGGAAUCCUCGCCUCAUUCCCAGUCUUACGGGGAUGACGUUUCCCACCAUUGAGCAUGACAUUAGCUUAGAUUUCACAUACUCACCCUGUGUUGCUCUAUCUGAGGUCCCUGAGAGUUGUUAUGAUUGGAUCUUUAAUUUUGUCAAAUGCUUUUUUCCUGUAUCUAUUACAAUGAUCCUGUGAGUGUUGUUCUUUAUUCUGUUAAUAUGGUAAAUUACGUUGAUUGAUUUUUGAGUGCUAAACCAUCCUUGUAUUUUGAGAUAAACCUUGCUUAAUUGUAAUGCAUUGUCCUUGUUAAAUGUUGCUAGAUUUCCUGAGUUGCUUAUAUUUUAUUAAGGACUUUCUUGUCCACAAUCAUGAGAAAUAUUGGUUCACAGUUUUGUUUUUUUUUUUUUCAAUGCGGUUGUCUGUUUUUAUUUCAGAAUUAUGCUGGCCUCAUAAAGCAAGUUGAAAAGUU